AUAGAGACUCAGAGCUGCAUAUCAAUAAGCGGAGGAAAAGAAACUAACAAGGAUUCCCUUAGUAACGGCGAGUGAAGCGGGAAGAGCUCAAAUUUGAAAUCUUCAAGGUUCUACCUUGACGAAUUGUAGUUUAAAGAAGUGUUUUCUGUUAGAUGAGUAGCAAAAGUUCCUUGGAAUGGGACAUCAUAGAGGGUGAGAAUCCCGUAUUUGGUUAUUCAUUCUAGCUUUGUGAUACACUUUCAAAGAGUCGGAUUGUUUGGGAAUGCAGUCCAAAAUGGGUGGUAAAUUUCAUCUAAAGCUAAAUAUUGGCGAGAGACCGAUAGCGGACAAGUACCGUGAGGGAAAGAUGAAAAGAACUUUGAAAAGAGAGUUAAACAGUACGUGAAAUUGUCAAAAGGGAAGCGUUUGACACCAGUGUUGUUUUUCCGAAAAUCAAUUACGAAUGGCUUGAUUUUGUGUUGUAUUGACCUUAUCAGCUUUCUGCACUUUUUUCGAGUCUUUCUUAAUGCACUUUUCGGUUAACAAGUCAACAUCAAUUUCUUUUGUUGUAAAAGAGUCAUUGGAAGGUGGCUUUCUUUUCGGAGAAAGUGUUUAUAGCCUUAUGCCUCUACAAUCGGAGAGAUUGAGGUCUGCAGCGUAGAUCCUUCGGGGUUAGAUACACUUUGUGCUAAGUUAGUAGCCUUUCAUAGACAACUUGUUGACUAUGAUUCAGUCAUGUAGGCUUACUCGCUUAGUGCUAUUUUACCUACGCUUAGGAUGUUGACGAUCAGCUGAGCGCG
rnacentral:rRNA from 1 species